ensembl:lncRNA PPP1R3B-DT PPP1R3B divergent transcript
UAGAUGCUUGGGCGUCAAUAUCACGUGGAACCAGCCUUUUCUUUGAUACCUCUUGCGUUUCUUGCAGAUCCCCUGCCUGCAGCACGUGCUGAUCUCCAAGGGUGAGGCUGGAUGAAGCCAGGGGCUAUGGAAAGGGAGACUGUUUCAGAGGACUUGACACCAUCUUCAGUAAUUUCUCUGGUUCUUGGCAGCUCCAUUUGGCUGCGUCCCUACCCUGCAUAACCCUCCCAGCUAGUCUACUCCAGGGCAGCGUCCAGCUGGUGACCUGAGAGGGCAGUGGCGCACCAGUCUCCAUGAAGGUUGAGCUCCGAUGGCCAACGGCCAUUUCCACCUUGUGGUCUACAACUCUUCAUCCCGACUGCAUGGAGGUUGGUCUCUCUCUUCAGCUGGAUUUAGGCCACCAUCUGAGCCCCCGGGGUACGUUUUGUCUGACCCUGGCGCCAUUCGAACGGUUCUUCUACAGCAUCAGGCGUUCACCUGGCUCCUAGGGCUUUUGUGCUGUAGGCCUAUAUUUCCAGCUACUUUUGGAAAAAAUCUCUCUGGAGGCUCAAUGAGCUUGUCACAUCAGCCUGCCCAGAGUUCUCUUUCCUGCCACCAUGUGAAGAAGGACAUGUUUGCUUCCCCUUCUGCCAUGAAUGGACAGGGUCCUGCUGUGUUGCCCAGGCUGGCCUUGAACUCCUGGCUUCAAACAGUCUUCCCACUUGGGCUCCCAAAGUGCUGGGAUUAAAGGGGCGAGUUACAGCACCAGGACCUGAAAUGUGACACCCCUGCUCCCCAUUCACCCUCCGCUAUCAGUAAAAGCUUCCUCAGACCUCACCAGAAGCUGGACAGAUAGAUGCUGGUGCCAAGCUUGUACAGACUGCAGAACCAUGGGCCAAAUAAACCUCUUUUCUUUAUAAAU